UGGGGAAUAUUGGACAAUGGGCGAAAGCCUGAUCCAGCCAUGCCGCGUGUGUGAAGAAGGUCUUCGGAUUGUAAAGCACUUUAAGUUGGGAGGAAGGGCAUUAACCUAAUACGUUAGUGUUUUGACGUUACCGACAGAAUAAGCACCGGCUAACUCUGUGCCAGCAGCCGCGGUAAUACAGAGGGUGCAAGCGUUAAUCGGAAUUACUGGGCGUAAAGCGCGCGUAGGUGGUUUGUUAAGUUGGAUGUGAAAUCCGCGGGCUCAACCUGGGAACUGCAUUCAAAACUGACUGACUAGAGUAUGGUAGAGGGUGGUGGAAUUUCCUGUGUAGCGGUGAAAUGCGUAGAUAUAGGAAGGAACACCAGUGGCGAAGGCGACCACCUGGACUAAUACUGACACUGAGGUGCGAAAGCGUGGGGAGCAAACA
rnacentral:rRNA from 1 species